UACGUAGGGGGCAAGCGUUGUCCGGAUUUAUUGGGCGUAAAGAGCGUGUAGGCGGCCAGACAGGUCCGUUGUGAAAACUCGAGGCUCAACCUCGAGACGUCGACGGAAACCGACUGGCUAGAGUCCGGAAGAGGAGUGUGGAAUUCCUGGUGUAGCGGUGAAAUGCGCAGAUAUCAGGAAGAACACCUAUGGCGAAGGCAGCACUCUGGGACGGUACUGACGCUGAGACGCGAAAGCGUGGGGAGCGAACAGG
rnacentral:rRNA from 1 species